UACGUAGGGGGCAAGCGUUGUCCGGAAUUAUUGGGCGUAAAGAGCGUGUAGGCGGUCCGGUAAGUCAGCUGUGAAAGUCAAGGGCUCAACCCUUGAAAGCCGGUUGAUACUGUCGGGCUAGAGUCCGGAAGAGGCGAGUGGAAUUCCCGGUGUAGCGGUGAAAUGCGCAGAUAUCGGGAGGAACACCAGUGGCGAAGGCGACUACCUGGCCUGUUCUUGACGCUGAGGCGCGAAAGCUAGGGGAGCAAACGGG
rnacentral:rRNA from 1 species